UCUGCUCCGGACCCUUAUCAUUCUCUUGUCCAGUGUUAUAUGCAAAUCUACUGGACGGAGAACUGAUAAGGGCCUGUAGACUU
rnacentral:pre_miRNA from 13 species